GAUUCACACUGUCCCGUGUCCCUCUCUCCUCCUCUUCUCUCUCCUCUCUUCCUCUCACUUUUCUCUCGUCCUCGCCCGUCUCUCACUUCGUUCUCUUCUUCCUCAGACACAGACAGAGAUGGAUCAGCCUCCUCCGUACGCUCCGGCUCCAGGCUUUGCCCCCGGUUUUCCAGGAUACCAGUGUACCUGAUGAAGCCUGAUGACCGUUCUUCUGUCCCUGGGUUCAUUCCUGGUCUUGGUUCUGGUCUUGGUUCUGGUUUUGGGGGCGGGCUGAAGUCGUUUUUGGGGGCGUGUUCUGCGGCGUUGUGCUGCUGCUGCCUCUGGGACCUGCUCCACUGAUGAAACUAAAGCGUC
ensembl:lncRNA